rnacentral:rRNA from 1 species
UGGGGAAUUUUGGACAAUGGGCGAAAGCCUGAUCCAGCAAUGCCGCGUGUGUGAAGAAGGCCUUCGGGUUGUAAAGCACUUUUGUCCGGAAAGAAAUGGCUCUGGUUAAUACCUGGGGUCGAUGACGGUACCGGAAGAAUAAGGACCGGCUAACUACGUGCCAGCAGCCGCGGUAAUACGUAGGGUCCAAGCGUUAAUCGGAAUUACUGGGCGUAAAGCGUGCGCAGGCGGUUGUGCAAGACCGAUGUGAAAUCCCCGAGCUUAACUUGGGAAUUGCAAUGGUGACUGCACGGCUAGGGUGUGUCAGAGGGGGGUAGAAUUCCACGUGUAGCAGUGAAAUGCGUAGAGAUGUGGAGGAAUACCGAUGGCGAAGGCAGCCCCCUGGGAUAACACUGACGCUCAUGCACGAAAGCGUGGGGAGCAAACAGG